UUUGAUCCUGGCUCAGAAUCAACGCUGGCGGCGCGCCUCAGACAUGCAAGUCGAACGAUUAAGACUCUCUUCGGAGAGUGUAUAAAGUGGCGCACGGGUGAGUAACACGUAGGUAAUGUACCGGAGGGUGGGGAAUAACUUAGGGAAACUUAAGCUAAUACCGCAUAAUGCAGCGGCUCGACAUCGAGACAGUUGUUAAAGGAGCAAUCCGCCUUUUGAGCAGCCUGCGGCAGAUUAGCUAGUUGGUAAGGUAAUGGCUUACCAAGGCUACGAUCUGUAACCGACCUGAGAGGGUGGUCGGUCACACUGACACUGAAUAACGGGUCAGACUCCUACGGGAGGCAGCAGUCGGGAAUUUUGGGCAAUGGGCGAAAGCCUGACCCAGCAACGCCGCGUGAAGGAUGAAGUAUUUCGGUAUGUAAACUUCGUAAGAAUAGGAAGAAUAAAUGACGGUACUAUUUGUAAGGUCCGGCUAACUACGUGCCAGCAGCCGCGGUAAUACGUAGGGACCAAGCGUUGUUCGGAUUUACUGGGCGUAAAGGGCGCGUAGGCGGCGUGGUAAGUCAGCUGUGAAAUCUCCGAGCUUAACUCGGAACGGUCAGCUGAUACUGCUGUGCUAGAGUACAGAAGGGGCAAUCGGAAUUCUUGGUGUAGCGGUGAAAUGCGUAGAUAUCAAGAGGAACACCUGAGGUGAAGACGGGUUGCUGGGCUGAUACUGACGCUGAGGCGCGAAAGCUAGGGUAGCAAACGGGAUUAGAUACCCCGGUAGUCCUAGCCCUAAACGAUGUAUGCUUGGUGUCUGGAGUUUUAAAUCUCCGGGUGCCGUCGCUAACGCUUUUAGCAUACCGCCUGGGGAGUACGCACGCAAGUGUGAACUCAAGGAAUUGACGGGGACCCGCACAAGCGGUGGAGCAUGGUGGUUUAAUUCGACGCAACSGCGAAGAA
rnacentral:rRNA from 1 species